GACGAACGCUGGCGGCGUGCUUAACACAUGCAAGUCGAACGGAAAGGCCCUGCUUUUGUGGGGUGCUCGAGUGGCGAACGGGUGAGUAACACGUGAGUAACCUGCCCUUGACUUUGGGAUAACUUCAGGGAACUGGGGCUAAUACCGGAUAGGAGCUCCUGCUGCAUGGUGGGGGUUGGAAAGUUUCGGCGGUUGGGGAUGGACUCGCGGCUUAUCAGCUUGUUGGUGGGGUAGUGGCUUACCAAGGCUUUGACGGGUAGCCGGCCUGAGAGGGUGGCCGGCCACAUUGGGACUGAGAUACGGCCCAGACUCCUACGGGAGGCAGCAGUGGGGAAUAUUGCACAAUGGGCGGAAGCCUGAUGCAGCAACGCCGCGUGCGGGAUGACGGCCUUCGGGUUGUAAACCGCUUUCGCCUGUGACGAAGCGUGAGUGACGGUAAUGGGUAAAGAAGCACCGGCUAACUACGUG
rnacentral:rRNA from 1 species